rnacentral:rRNA from 1 species
CUUACGGCAGCUAUCCAUGCAGUCGAACGGCAGCGCGGGGCAACCUGGCGGCGAGUGGCGAACGGGUGAGUAAUACAUCGGAACGUACCCAGAAGUGGGGGAUAACGUAGCGAAAGUUACGCUAAUACCGCAUACGUUCUACGGAAGAAAGCGGGGGAUCUUCGGACCUCGUGCUUUUGGAGCGGCCGAUGUCUGAUUAGCUAGUUGGUGAGGUAAAGGCUCACCAAGGCGACGAUCAGUAGCUGGUCUGAGAGGACGACCAGCCACACUGGGACUGAGACACGGCCCAGACUCCUACGGGAGGCAGCAGUGGGGAAUUUUGGACAAUGGGCGCAAGCCUGAUCCAGCAAUGCCGCGUGAGUGAAGAAGGCCUUCGGGUUGUAAAGCUCUUUUGUCAGGGAAGAAACGGGGCUGGCUAAUAUCCGGCCUUAAUGACGGUACCUGAAGAAUAAGCACCGGCUAACUACGUGCCAGCAGCCGCGGUAAUACGUAGGGUGCAAGCGUUAAUCGGAAUUACUGGGCGUAAAGCGUGCGCAGGCGGUUUUGUAAGUCUGACGUGAAAUCCCCGGGCUCAACCUGGGAAUUGCGUUGGAGACUGCAAGGCUGGAGUCUGGCAGAGGGGGGGUAGAAUUCCACGUGUAGCAGUGAAAUGCGUAGAGAUGUGGAGGAACACCGAUGGCGAAGCAAGCCCCCCUGGGUCAAGACUGACCGCUCAU